GACGAACGCUGGCGGCGUGGAUUAGGCAUGCAAGUCGAACGGUAUCAUCCUUUCGGGGAUGAGAGAGUGGCGAACGGGUGAGUAACACGUAGGUGAUCUACCCUCAAGACGGGGACAACCCAGGGAAACUUGGGCUAAUACCGGAUGUGAGCUAUCGUGAGAUAGUUUGAAAGGUGGCUUCGGCUGCCGCUUGAGGAUGAGCCUGCGUCCUAUUAGCUAGUUGGUGAGGUAACGGCUCACCGAGGCAGUGAUAGGUAGGCGGCCUUAACGGGUGGUCGCCCACACUGGGAUUGAGAUACGGCCCAGACUCCUACGGGAGGCAGCAGUCGAGAAUAGUCUACAAUGGUCGAAAGACUGAUAGUGCGACGCCGCGUGAACGAAGAAGCCCUUCGGGUGUAAAGUUCUUUUAUAUGUGAGCAGUGACAUCUAUAUUAAUAGUAUGGGUGUAGAGAUAUUAGCAUAUGAAUAAGCAACGGCUAACUCCGUG
rnacentral:rRNA from 1 species